rnacentral:rRNA from 1 species
AGUGAACGCUGGCGGUAGGCCUAACACAUGCAAGUCGAACGGCCGCACAGUAAGCGUUCGUUUUUACGGGUGGCGACUGGCGGAUGGGUGAGGCAUACAUAGGCUUCUUAUUUUACGUGGGGGAUAACGUGAGGCCACUUCUGCUACUACCGAAUAUUAUCUACGGGUGAAAGCAGGGGAUCUUCGGACCCUGCCCGACUGUAUGAGCUGGUGUCGGAUUAGCUAGUUGGCGAGGUAAAGGCACACCAAGGCAACGAUGCGUAGCUGAUCUGAGAGGAUGAUCAGCCACACUGGAACUGAGACACGGUCCAGACUCCUACGGGAGGCAGCAGUAGGGAAUAUUCGGCAAUGGGCGCAAGCCUGAUCCAGCCAUACCGCGUGAGUGAAGAAGGCCUUCGGAUUGUAAAACUCUGUUAUUAGGGAAGAAAAGCAGCAUAUGAAAACCCCGCUGUUCUGACGGUACCCAAAGAGAAAGCACCGGCUAACUUCGUG